GACGAACGCUGGCGGCGCGCCUAACACAUGCAAGUCGAACGAGCGAGAGAGAGCUUGCUUUCUCGAGCGAGUGGCGAACGGGUGAGUAACGCGUGAGGAACCUGCCUCAAAGAGGGGGACAACAGUUGGAAACGACUGCUAAUACCGCAUAAGCCCACGACCCGGCAUCGGGUAGAGGGAAAAGUAGCAAUCCGCUUUGAGAUGGCCUCGCGUCAGAUUAGCUAGUUGGUGGGGUAACGGCCCACCAAGGCGACGAUCGGUAGCCGGACUGAGAGGUUGAACGGCCACAUUGGGGAUGAGACACGGCCCAGACUCCUACGGGAGGCAGCAGUGGGGAAUAUUGCACAAUGGGGGAAACCCUGAUGCAGCGACGCCGCGGAGAGGAAGAAGGUCUUCGGAUUGUAAACUCCUGUUGUUGAGGAAGAUAAUGACGGUACUCAACAAGGAAGUGACGGCUAACUACGUG
rnacentral:rRNA from 1 species